UUUCUCCUUUUUUUUCUUCCCUAGCCAUGCUUGGUGAUUAAACUUCCUCAGGAUGGGGAAGAAAAAGGAGCUGGAAAUGAAAUAGGGUUGAGGAAAAAUCCCAUUGCAGCAGCUGCAGCCAGUGGUGACUGCUGCCAGAUGUGCGAAGGUUCCUGGGGUCCUUGUCACUAAAAGGCAGUAUUCAAAUAUUUGGAGACAAAAGCUGCAUCCUCAGUGAUCAUUUUCUUUAUUUAACAUGGCAGCAGGCAUCGUGUGGGGAAAAAUCAACAUGCUGGAUGUUGAAUCGGACUUUUAUCCUUUCUGGGAUGAAAGGAUGUUAUCUAUCCCGUGCCAAGAGGGAACUGAGGUGCAGGGGGAGGGGAAGAAAGUCUUCCAAACUAGCCCGCCAUGAGCAAUGAACAUAUGGCUGUUACUAUCAGCACUGGUGUAUUUGCGGCGAUGCCUAUCAACAUCCACCAGAGAGCAGGGCAGCUCCAAAACCCACAUCUUUUAUGCUGUGGAAAUUGAUGGAGACAGCAGCACAGCCAGCUUCUUGGCCAAACAACAUGGAAUGCAGUUCAUUUCAAAGGUACUGGUCUCUUAGCCUGUAAGGCUUGUGCAUGAUGUCUCUGAGAGCAAUUUCCAGCAGAGUGAAGCCUUAUCACAGAUUCACCUAAAAGGUGAAGUGGGUGAAUAUCAGACAGCUCAUUAUAGAGACAUGCAAGCUGCAUUCCCAAAGUAGGAUGACAGAACAAGUCAUGAGUGGCAAAGACAUUGCAGUCCCCAAAGGAUUUUUUUUUCCUGGCGGAUAAGAGUCAUGGAUGUUAAAGGAGACACUAAUCAGGCUGUUGUGAAAGAUCUGAUACCAGCUUUGGUCAAAGGGGUCGAGUGUCAUCCUGAGAGUGCUCCUCUUUGGGACAGGAAACCGACGGAGCGAAGCCCUGAGAACAUGCCGCGACACUUCAUAUUCAAUCCACAGACCUAUAAAGAGAUGAAAAAUGAGCCUUGUCCAAAGCUCUUACCUCAGCACCCAGUGGCAAAAAUAAAAUGUGAGCUUGGGACCAGGUCUCUUUGAAGCUGAUUUUUUCUAUUUUUUUUUCUAAACUCUCUAACAGGCCUCUGGUGGUUACAGGUAUUGAUCGUCAGAAAGUAAUCUGUUCAGGUUUGGGGGCAUGCCAGACCGAAUCCUGCAGUAUGUUCCUUCCUCUCCAAGGACAUGUUGAGCUUUUCAUACUGUCCACACUGGCAUGCUUGUCAGCUGUCUGGCUUCUUUGUCUUUACUGCUUUCCCUGUUUGUGGAAAGCAUAUUAUUAAACCUCCCUUAUACGAAUAUUGUACAUUACUCCUCUAGAAUUUUCUACCCGUGCUGAAGGUUUUUUACCCCAAUUUUUAACCCUCAUUUUUCUUCUAUAAUCAUUAUUUGAUUCCCUCUGGCUGCCUGCUACUUAUUUGUAGUAGUACCAUUCAUCCAUUGAGACUUUUCCAUCUGUCACACAGUUUUACUUUCUCUCCCCAGAAGCUUUCUUCUCCUACUGUGCCAUGCUUGAUUUUUUGGGUUUAAUUGCAUGUUUGUUUGCUCUUUUUAGUAUUUUAAAAAAUGCUUCAGUAUUUAGAACAAAUACAAGAAGAAGAGAAAACUCCCAACAUAGCAAAGAGAAGCUCAAAUCCAGUACUGCACAUAGAAACAGGAAGAGGAGACAGAUUCCUGGUGAAUUAAGGAAUCAACACAUAUAGCCAGGGCAGAACUAGUGGCCAGACCUUGCUCUCUGUGAAUUGUUUUCAUUGCCUUCCAAAUCCUUCCAGUUUUGUGCUAGAUAAAUAGGUGAUGUCAGGAAAUGUUGCAUUCCCUCUGCUGUACUGACUCCCUUUAGUGUAUUGAUUACAAAGAUGAUCUGAGGAAAACCAAACAUACUGAGGUACAAUACUGUGAUUAUGUUAAGCAAAUAAUGUUUUAAAGUGUCAGGCACUGACACCUUACCUAAACAAGAUUGUGGUCAUAUCCUACAUUUAAAAUUAAAUGAGCAAUUUUUGUUUUCAGAGGGUAGAUAUUAAAGAAAUGCAGCACUUGUUAGUGUUUCCCAGGUGAAAUGCAGGAAGGUCUAAAGCCAGCAGCAUAACCCCUCAGAAUCAUUGUUUUUUCUCUGUGUAUCUUCAACCCCUAUUAAAGCAAGUUUUAGUUUUUGAUGUGAGUAAGAACAGGAAAUUUAACAGCAGCUCUACAGAUCACUUGCGAUUGAAUCAAAUCUCAAAUCUUCAGUCUUGGAGAACUCACAAAAUUACCUGCUUCUGAUAAUAUAUUUUGAAUAUCUCUUUAUUAUUUUCUUCUUCUUUUCCUCAUAUACAUCUCAUUGUAUCAUCUUAUGUUCUUGUUUCAAAAGUUCCUGCAAGUUUAUCUAUAUUAUUAGGAUUGGUAAAAAAGUAUGUGUUGUGUUUUCAGAAAUCUUUUUUUGUCAGUAGAAAUGCUUUCAUUGUUUAUAAAAUUGCUUCUCUGGCUGUAUAAAAAGUGCUGGUAGUCUUCAAACAAACACAAAAGCUGUGUGUGUGUCCUUGUUUGAAUGACAAUCUCCAGAAAGUUUCCUUUGCUACCAGCUACUUCACUGCACUCUUCUGUGAAUGAAGUGGGUGGAAAAAUAUCGGACCCUUACAUAUGUACUUGUACGGGAAAAUGACUGAAAAUAUAGGUAUUUCACAAAAAUCCUCUUUAUUAAGUGAUGUCCUGUGAAAGUAAGGGUCAUUCAGACCCUGCUUUUAUUUUAUCUGAACCCUAAGGUGCUUUGUGAAGGAAAAUAAAUGGUUGCUUUUCUGGAAUAAAUUAUGAAAAUGAAAUUUAAGAAAAUGAGAAGGCAAAAGGGGAAGGAAUGUGAGACAAUGCAGUCCCUCCUGAGCACUGAAAACUUUUCUGAGUUUCUUCUCAAGAAUAAAUGAUUAACAAUUAAUAAGGGUGAAAGUGUUUUUUUGCGUUUGUGUGUAAUCACAAAUUUGAUGGUCCCACUGUACAAUCAGUGUACACCUAUAUCAUUCAAAUCUACCCUGCCUGCUCUGUAAGACCUUCAGUGGGUGAAAUGUCACUGUUGCACAGGGAAGCUAGUCCAGUGCUUUAUUAAAAUUACUU